rnacentral:rRNA from 1 species
UUUGUAAUCUGGCUGUCUUCGAUAGUCCGAGUUGUAAUCUAUAGACGUGUUUUCCGUGCUGGACCGUAUCUAAGUCCCUUGGAACAGGGUAUCAAAGAGGGUGACAAUCCCGUGCUUGAUACGACCACCAGUGCUCUGUGAUACACGCUCUACGAGUCGAGUUGUUUGGGAAUGCAGCUCAAAAUGGGUGGUAAAUUCCAUCUAAAGCUAAAUAUUGGCGAGAGACCGAUAGCGAACAAGUACCGUGAGGGAAAGAUGAAAAGCACUUUGGAAAGAGAGUUAAACAGUACGUGAAAUUGUUGAAAGGGAAACGAUUGAAGUCAGUCGUGUUCUUUGGAUUCAGCUAGUUCUUCUAGUCUACUUCCAUUGAACGGGUCAACAUCAGUUUUGUCCGGUGGAUAAAGAUAGUAGGAAUGUAGCUCCCCCGGGAGUGUUAUAGACUAUUAUUGCAUACACUGGGUGAGACUGAGGACUGCAGCUCGCCUUUUGGCCGGUCUUCGGACACGUUCGAGCUUAGGAUGUUGACAUAAUGGC